GGGUCAGUAGGUUGGUCGUGCCACCGGUACGUACUGGUCUCACUGAUUCCUCCUUCCUGAAGAACCGUAAUGCCAUUAAUUUGGUGUUGCGGGGAAACAGGACUGUUACUUUGAAAAAAUUAGAGUGUUUAAAGCAAGCUAACGCUUGAAUACAUUAGCGUGGGAUAAUGAAAUAGGACGAUCGAUCCUAUUUUGUUGGUUUCUAGGAUUGACGUA
rnacentral:rRNA from 1 species